ensembl:misc_RNA predicted gene, 27585
CUCAGUGCUUUUAAGUAUGAGGGAUCCUAUGCUAACUUGGAAAUACCUUUUUACUUCAUAUUUGAAAAUUUGUGUGCCUGAGCAUUCAUAGCAGGGAGAAAUGAUAAAGGCUAUCACUGGCAUUAAAACUAAACAUGGUGUAGGCAGCUGCUGUGAACCAGAAUAUUACAAUUUUCUCCUGAUAUAUGCAAUGGAAAAU